rnacentral:lncRNA from 7 species
AAAUGAGCAAACAAGGCCGGAGCAACAACCUGAUUUUCAUGCAAAUGCUUUCCCUUCAAGAGUACCGCAAGAGCACAAACAAGGAUUAGCUGCUGACGGUCAUUUGCAUACCCUCGGCCAACUCCAAGCAUUUUUUAACCUCUAUGGCAAAGCAUUUCGCUCACCAUGAAUCGUCCCUUCUUCUCUAGCAGAUGACAUCAUCUGGUGUUAUGAAGGGGCUUUUCUGUCCUGGCAGAGGCGGGCUCUGGCUGGAUCCUGUCCCAGAGGGAAGCAGGUGUUUGCUCAGAGCUGCCCGCCCCCAAAGCGGGGUACCCAUGCCUGGCAGCUUGGUGCUGUGCCUGGCUGUGCAUCCUAAUGAGUACUGUGGGGCAGGUGGGACGCCCUGAUUGCUCAGCCCUUGCUAUCCCGGGGCAGUGUAAAGAAGAUGGAGCCCAGGGAGUCUCCGGGGCCUUUGUAAGGGCUCGAUAUUGCUGAGCUGGGAUUUCGGCAAGAGACGGCGUGUGGAGCUAAUCCUGCAGCACAAUAACCGGCUCUACGCCGUGGGUGUCGAAUUUGCUAAACGGAGGUUGUUUAUUGUUUGCCCAUGUAAUGAUGUGCACGGGGCUUAGACCAAUUUGGAAAUAUUAAUAAACAUGACAGUGCUUAAACAG